GGAAAAGAGGCGCCUAGACCAGUUAGUUUCCUUUGCUCCAGGACCGGAUGCGGAGCCGGGACUCAGGUGGAGGCAGGAGAAAUACGCACCCUGGGUGCACCUAUUCCUAUCAGGCGAAGGCCGCCUUUCCUGGCCUCCCCCACAGGCCCGCCAGCGAUUCGUCCUUACAAGGCUAGCCUCCACGGGCUGCCCUCUGUGUAAAUAAAGCCACAGACUUCCGCCCACAGGUCGCCGCAGGUCCCGCCCGCAGCGCCGGGCCGCGGGGGAGGCGGGAACUGGUGCUACGGCCGCUACGCAGGCCUCGGGAGGCUCGGAGCCCGCCACGCCCCAGCCCUCUCGCAGGGCCGGGGAGCCACGGGGCCAAAAGGAGGAGCAGGUGGAAGAAAUCCAGGCUCAGACCGUCGGAGUCCCCACCCAUGAGCACCCUUCUCCACUGAUCACUCAGAACAUGGUAGGCCCUAGAGAGACAGCAGCCCGAAUCUUCCCAGAAACCCUGCAGGAGAUUCCUUCUUCCCAUUUUAUAGAAGGGAGGCUGAGGCUCGGCACGUUGAAAUGGCUUGACCAAGGUCCCACAGGCAAAAAAAUGGUACAGCAAGAUAUUGUAACCCAAUAUCUGGCUGCAAAACCCAGUCUCUCCCCAACCCACCUAUCGUCACCGAGAUUGUAAAACUUCUAACCGGGAAGAAUCAAAUACAUGCACAACGGGUUACAGGUUAACAGACAGAUGGGAGCGGAAAGGGACAUUCCAGCGCUUCCCUGGGCGUGUCGCACAGGGCAACUCCAACCACAGGCGAAUUUUCCUGGGUGACAGUUAAACUCCUUUUUGCAUGAAAAAAUACAGAUUCUUAUUAAAACAAUAAUCGAUUAGACUAUAAAACUCUCAAAGUUAU
rnacentral:lncRNA from 10 species